AUGAACGCUGGCGGCGUGUCUAAGGCAUGCAAGUCGAAUGGGUUAGACCCAUGGCAAACGGGAGCGUAACACAUUGGUAACUUACCCCAAAGUUCAGAAUAACCCGCCGAAAGGCGGGAUAAUACUGGAUGUGCCCAGCAUUCGUAAGAGUGUUGUGUAAAGAUUUAUCGCUUUGGGAGAGGCCUAUGGUCCAUCAGCUAGUUGGUAAGGUAAUGGCUUACCAAGGCUAUGACGGAUAGCGGGUGUGAGAGCACGACCCGCCUCACUGGGACUGAGAACUGCCCAGACUCCUACGGGAGGCUGCAGUCAAGAAUAUUCCUCAAUGGACGAAAGUCUGAAGGAGCGACGCCGCGUGAUCGAUGAAGUCCUUCGGGAUGUAAAGAUCUUUUAUUAGGGAAGAAUAAAUGACGGUACCUAAUGAAUAAGAGGUUGCUAACUCUGU
rnacentral:rRNA from 1 species